rfam:Salmo salar isolate Sally breed double haploid chromosome ssa12, whole genome shotgun sequence.
GCGUUGUGAGGUAGUAGAUUGUAUUGUUGUGGGGUAGUGAUUUUACCCUGAUCAGAAGAUAACUAUACAAUCUAUUGCCUUCCCUGA